rnacentral:rRNA from 1 species
GACGAAGGCCUUCGGUUGUAAAGCCCUGUGGGGUAGGAACGAACUGGCAUCGGGCUAAUAUCCCGGUGUCUUGACGGUACUGCCUUAGCAAGCAUCGGCUAACUCUGUGCCAGCAGCCGCGGUAAGACAGAGGAUGCGAACGUUGCUCGGAUUUACUGGGCGUAAAGCGCGUGUAGGCGGUCUCGUUAGUCGGGUGUGAAAGCCCCGGGCUCAACCCGGGAAGUGCACCCGAUACUGCGAGACUGGGGUACUGAAGAGGAGAGCGGAAUUCCCGGUGUAGAGGUGAAAUUCGUAGAUAUCGGGAGGAACACCAGUGGCGAAGGCGGCUCUCUGGGCAGAUACCGACGCUGAGACGCGAAAGCGUGGGGAGCAAACAGGAUUAGAUACCCUGGUAGUCCACGCUGUAAACGAUGACGACUGGGUGUUGCAGGUA